GAAAUGCGAUAAGUAAUGUGAAUUGCAGAUUUCAGUGAAUCAUCGAAUUUUUGAACGCACAUUGCGCCCUCUGGUAUUCCGGGGGGCAUGCCUGUUCGAGCGUCAUUACAACCCUCAAGCUCUGCUUGGUAUUGGGCGUCGCCGGGUUCCCGGCGCGCCUCAAAGUCAGUGGCGGCGCCGUCCGGCUUCAAGCGUAGUAACAUACUCUCGCUCUGGAGCUCCGGGCGGUUGCCUGCCAGCAACCCCAAUUUUUACCACAGGUUGACCUCGGAUCAGGUAGGGAUACCCGCUGAACUUAA
rnacentral:misc_RNA from 1 species